UCCUCGGUAGUAUAGUGGUCAGUAUGCCCGCCUGUCACGCGGGAGACCCGGGUUCAAUUCCCGGCCGGGGAG
rnacentral:tRNA from 1 species